AACGAACGCUGGCGGCGCGCUUAACACAUGCAAGUCGAACGAGAAGGCGUAGCAAUACGCUUGUACAGUGGCGAACGGGUGAGUAAUACGUGGGCGACCUACCCUCGAGUGGGGAAUAACCCGCCGAAAGGCGGGCUAAUGCCGCGUACGCUUCCAUCUUUAUGGAGGUGGAAGGAAAGCCGUGCCGUGGGCACGGCGCUCAAGGAUGGGCUCACGUCCUAUCAGCUUGNGGUAGGGUAACGGCCUACCAAGGCUCCGACGGGUAGCUGGUCUGAGAGGACGAUCAGCCACACUGGCACUGCGACACGGGCCAGACUCCUACGGGAGGCAGCAGUGAGGAAUAUUGCGCAAUGGGCG
rnacentral:rRNA from 1 species